UAUGCUUUCUUCAUCAUGCAUCUCUACAUGUCAUUUUACUAAUUAUAUAUAUGAUAAUAAGUGAUGAACAACUGGUAUUUGGGUUGGUAACAACAGCUGUCUCUUCAUAUUGUACGUGUAAUUCGAGAAAUUACUCUUACAACUACUGAGGCUUGAUUUCUAGAUUGAUCAAUUAUUGUUUGCUUUUACUUUUGUUGUUUAAGCGGAUGCCAUAUUGGAUCAGAGACUUCUUAUGGACUCCAUCACAAAGGAAACUACAGACUAAACCUGCAAGGUUCAGGUAAUUGACAAGUUUCGUCCUCGCAAGAGCAGAGACUCAUCUGACCUUUUCCAAACAAUACUCGUACAAGAUGAAAGAGAACAAUAAGUUUCCAUAGUGCUAUACGGCAAUGAUAUUCCCAGAUACGACAACUUGUUCCUCCUUUUCCACACACAUCUUGUUUCUUCUGCGAAAGUUAGGGAUCCCCGUAGUUACUCGAUACGAGCUGUUACGUACGAAUGGAUAGCUGACAAAUACACAAUUGUUGAAUCGAUUACCGACAACGAUGGAUUGGAAGCACCACUGCCUGCUCCAGAAAAGUUAAUCACACUUCCUUUCUUAGCGAUUGAGCAACAACACCCAGGUGUUGAAUUUGAUUUUCUGGCAGUAGUAGUAAACUGCAGCGCCCUGCAAUACACAGCUGACCAAAGCUAACACUUUCGGGAAGCGAUUUUGAUGGAUCAAAGUAAUUUAGUCUUCCCCUUGCAUGAAGUUCACCAAACCUUAUGUUUGCUUGGUAAAAUAUGCUUUCACUAUAACAAUUUAUGCGAUUGGUAUACCCACCAGCAAGAAACCUUUUCUAUUUACUAUAUGGGAUGACCUAGCUAACAAUGAGGGAACAACCUUAUUGGAUCACCUACACGAGCAUCCAGUCAUUCUUGCCAAGCGUAUAGGCGUCCCUGAAUUUCGUGGUGGUAUAUUAUUUACAAUAUUCUAUGCACUCUUUCUUUUUAGUUCUUCUUUCUAUGUGGUCAACUAAAAAAACUUUCCGCCUUUCACAUACGCAGCUCUGACAUUGGCAACAAGAUAUCAAACAACAAUUUUACCAAAUCCUCAAUACGUGCAGGCAAAUACCCUGAUGAACUGAUAUACAUUAACUUACUCCCCCUUAACAAAGAUGUAUGAAAAUAUUUGCCCUAUUUAAAUUCAACAUUUUCCAGGGUCAAGCAGAACGAACAAAUGUUGUCAUCUUAUACUUUAAGAAGCUCCUCCUCAUCAACCCCCUCACUCAAUCUUGCACCUGUUGAAGAUCAAGUACAAUCUGUAUCCACCAUUCCCCAAUCGUUGUCUACGGUACAGACUGUUCCUAUGGAAGGCAGAAUAUCGCUUCCCGAUCAUUCUCAAUCAUUUUACUUGCUUGCUUGUUCACACUGCAAUCAGUAUGGUACGUCCUAAAACAAAAAAAAUGGUCCACUGCUUCAACUGUAAACUACACCGGCCAUUGGUCCCCAGGUCUGCCUAUAGCAAAAUUCUGUUUCAACCUAGCUAUUGAGUCACAAUGAUUUAAGUUGCACGGAAACAGUCAAUCGGGACCAGCUUAUCCAUGUGCGUCAUGAAGAUGUUUUUAUGACAGACGGGGUGGAAAUGUUUGUUUGGUCUGCAUAGAACAUGCUCUCAUAAAGUAUAAGCACAUGCCUAUAUGUUCUGUAAUUUACAGCUUCUGCCGAGUAAAACGCAAAAAAUGGUGAUUUCUGUCGGGUUCAUAUCACUAAUGAUACAACAAAACCUAUUGGCGCCACUUCAACAUUGACAUAACAGAUUCCAGCAGGACAAUUACAGCAACAGUGUGAGAAGCGUUAGCAAAAAGAAUACUGUCCCUAACUGCCAACCAAAUAUAUGACAAAGUUGUUUUCCAGGUAUAAAAAUACAUACUAUUAUCUAUGGCGAAACUCCUCUUACAAUUUCAUUCUACCACUAACUCCUAUUUAAUGUACUAUCUUUUACCUUUUCCACCUAGAAACAAUCACUAUCUAUUGCUGGUAUAAAUCACCAACUUGAUCGUAAACUGUUUAAACUCCAAUUACAAAAGUCAGCUUCCAGAUUACCAGACCAAAAAGCAGAUGCGCUAGGUGUUGUGUCAUUCACUGAAAUAGAACAAACAGGUAAGAGGCAGAAAAUUGAACCAUCUACACCCGCGAAAAAGGAUUGAAGGUAACAACACUUUGAUAUUUCAUCUGCAUUCUCUAUUCUCAUUUUUCGAUGGAUCUUCACACUUCAAUUAUAUUGGAAAAAACUGGAUUUCUCUAAUUUAGUUUCGAGCUUUUGGAUGCGAUUUUCCUUUUAUGAGGAUUAAAGAGAAUUUUUUUUUUUUUUUUUACUGUGAAGUAAAUAGUGUUGUAUAGUUGGAAUUGUAUGUGCUAGCCCUAAUUUUCUUGUGUGCUACAGUUACAAUAGAGAUACAGUGUGUAUGGAUCCUCUUACAUAUGCGUACCUGACUAGACACAUUAAAAGGUAUAUGUAUUACUUCUUCAUCUGACUUUACAUGAUUAUGUUCCUUCUCAUCACCUCCACAAAUACAUAACAUGUUCAUCCCAUUCACUUUUUUGGUGUCAUAUGCCUAAACGUAUUAACGGAUUAAAUACCCUUUCUUCAGAUCAGUAUUUCACAUGAUUAAUUGUCCUUUCAUAUUUAAUUAUUAUAUAUAUUAAUAAUAUGUUAUAUGUCACUGUAUGCAUACUACUCAUGUUACUGAAGCAUCACUUAUUUUUUCUUCUUCUGCAGCUGUAACUCCAUAACCUUUCUUCACAUUUUUCUUAGCACUAUCCACUUCAUCAGAUGGUAUAGCAUGUACAGAUGCACUUCGCUUGCCUAUACCAGCAUCAGCUAGCUGGCUGCCUGAACUAAGUUUUUGUCUUUUGAUGUAAACAACAGUAGACAUUUCAAUGUACAGACACUGUUUACCUUGGCACAGCUGCAUGUGUUUGUUUUUGCGCUUUGAUAUAACAAUCACCGUUUAAUGUACGAAACCAUUAUGUUAAUAGUUUUAAUAUGCUACA